UACAGAGGGUGCAAGCGUUAAUCGGAAUUAUUGGGCGUAAAGGGCGCGUAGGUGGUUGAGGAAGUUAGAUGUGAAAGCCCUGGGCUUAACCUAGGAAUGGCAUCUAAAACUCCUUGGCUUGAGUACAGUAGAGGGUAGUGGAAUUUCCGGUGUAGCGGUGAAAUGCGUAGAGAUCGGAAGGAACAUCAGUGGCGAAGGCGGCUACCUGGACUGAUACUGACACUGAGGCGCGAAAGCGUGGGUAGCAAACAGG
rnacentral:rRNA from 1 species